UUUUUACUAAAGAUCCCUGCCUACCUGAGGUCUCCUGAAGGAGUCUCUCAAAACUUAUACUGAAAGGUUUCUUUUAACAAAAUGAGAAAAUUCAUGAUCAAGCAUAUUAAUGUCCCGAUGAAAUGAAAAAUUAGUCAAGAGGAGGUGAAGCAAUGGAAUAAACCUAAGGAACUUUGAGGUAGAUAUCUUGCUGUCAUGACACCAGAGAAGCAUGAAGCAUGAACUCAAGCAUAUCCUGAAGUUAAACAAAUAAACAACAAAACCCUUAAAAACAGGUGAAGGAGGAAGAUAAAAGAAAAAUGAAUUUCCACAGUUUUAAAAACAUCUAACGAGGCUUCAGAUUCUUGUUUUUUGAGCAAGUGUUUUAAUAAUACUACUUGGAUUUGUAUACUGAUGAUCAUAGUGGAUUUUAACUCUUUGAAAACUCAUCUGACUUUCUCUGGGAUGCUGCUGGGUUUAUUAGCCAAGGAUCUUGUAUCAGAGAUAUUCCAUUUUGGGUACAGAAAGGAUUGAAGGAAUUCUUAAAUAAGAUAUACACAUUGCACAAUCUAAACCUGAAUGAAUGUAAGUCUGUAUGUAUUGCACACCUUCCUUUCUUAAAAUCAAUUUUAGAACAGCUGUUACAUUCAGCAGUAAAUAUCUCUGGCUGUCUUUCAGAGCCUUAUCCUCCCUUUUGUCAACACAUUGUCCUUUAUGCACUUGAAAAAUAUCUUUAAACCU
rnacentral:lncRNA from 1 species